rnacentral:rRNA from 1 species
AAUGAACGCUGGCGGCAGGCUUAACACAUGCAAGUCGAACGCACCUUCCGGGGUGAGUGUCAGACGGGUGAGUAACGCGUGGGAAUCUACCCUUCUCUACGGCAUACCUCCGGGAAACUGGAAUUAAUACCGUAUACGUCCUGAUGGCGAAAGAUUUAUCGGGGAAGGAUGAGCCCGCGUUGGAUUAGCUAGUUAGUAGGGUAAAGGCAUACCAAGGCGACGAUCCAUAGCUGGUCUAAGAGAAUGAUCAGCGACAUUGGGACUAAGACACGGCCCAAACUCUUACGGGAGGCAGGAGUGGGGGAUAUUGGAAAGUGGGCGCAAGGAUGAUCGAGCCAUGACGCGUGAGUGAUGAAAGCACUAGAGAUGUAAAGCUCUAUCAGUGGGGAAGAUAAUGACGGUACCCAAAGAAAAAGCCACGGCUAACUUCGUG